CCAGCCAGGUGUCAGGGCGACAGUGUCUGUGGUGGCGGUCGCGGGAUGGGUGCUAAGAGUUAGGGCCGCUUGUUGUGGCCUCAACCCCACGAGUUAUUGGUUGACGACCAAAAGAUCGUCUUUCUCUCACCAACGAAGCGUUCUCGUCCUGUGGCCAGGACGGGUGUCCCUUUAACCUCUCGUCAUCGCGGCGGUUAGUGUGACGAAGGAUCCCUUUUCCUUAUACCAUAGGAAGAGACCUGAGAGAUCGUCGUCGUCGUCGUCGUCCUCGUCGUCAUCUCCCAGCCGAAUGGUGGUCUUUGUAGCAGCAUCAAGUUUAGCGGCACCCAUGCAGUGUUUGGCGGAGCCAAAUAGUUCUUCCUCCGGUGUGCAGAGCGAAAAAAAUAUUCUUCUUCGUUGCUAUUACUUCUAUUUAGCAGCCACUGAAAACUCGCUCUCUCGCUUUGUCUAGUCCGCAAGUUCCUGAGGAUGGGAAUCUGUCACCUCUGCUUGAUGAUCGUGUGAAAAGAAAUUGUAGGCACUCUAUUUAUAGGUAGAUGUGUCUUCUCGUAUGAUGUAAGGAAGGACUUCCGUCUGUUUUAUCUUUUUUUUUCUUUAUUUUUUUAUUUAUUUUUUUACUAUCUAGACGUAAAGAAGCAGAUUGGAAUCACUAUCCAAGAAGUGUCGCGGCCAGGAACACCAGUUUACGCCCAUAUAUAGAGUACCGUUCAUCAAAUCGCGAAACUUCGGCAGUUUCACACUGUAUAUAUCCCGGGAGAGUUCCGUUUUAGUUAUUCAUUUAAUAUUUUUUGUUGUGAUUUAUUGAAACACAUGUUUCGUAGAAAGUAUACCUCUUAAUCCUCAAACGAGUGGAUUAGGGUAGAAAAAAGGUGAUAAUUAUUCGGUAUGUGAAACCAAAGGGCUCUUCACCUGACAGACUCUUCAAUUAGAACCACCUGUGAUUAAUAUCCUGUGCCUUUGCUGACCACUUCCGUCUCUGGGACGGUCCCAGCGGGGGAAUCUCUUGUUCAUCAUUCUGAAGGUUUUCUUCCCGGAAAACUUUUGGAGGUGGCUCCUUUGGUCCUGUAUCCGCCCUCAUGGCUUUCGUCAACAUCCAAAGCAAUCUCAGAGUUAACAGGGCGGCGAACAACACUGAGACGUCGGGGUGAGUAACCACGAGUCAAGAAGUUGACGAAAGGUCUCUUCUGCACACACUGCCGGUAUCGUAUACGUAUUGCAAUUCUCCCAAACCUUGUUAGGUAAGUCCCAGUUUUAAAGAUCCACUGUCUGCCUAAUUAACGGCCAGUUCCACCUGCUUCGGAUGCCUCGUCUUGGUUUCGUACAGUUUCAGCGAACUACUCUCACAUAGUUUGGCGAGUUGACGUCUCGGUGAGACGAGCAGAGUUAGUCAGGUGUUGGAAAGCAGAUCGGCAGGUUCCGGACAAUGUUCCGUCCAGAACACAACAGCAGCAGUUUUGGAGGAUCACCUGGUUGCUUGGGAUGGAUUUUGGUGCAGCAGUUGUCAACCGCUGAGCAGGGCUCAAUUCAGUUCUGAGGACGAGGUGGGGCUAAGUCAUAGUCCCCUGUUGAGAAGAGGUAUUCUUCCAUGGCAGCUACGAAGCUGUCGCAUCGAACAUUGUAUUGUUCGAUGGUCGGCCUUGCGGAUCUAUGAUUUUGGUUCUUGCUGCUUAUGUGGCAUCAUAAUCAGUUUUUUUUAUGUACAAGUGUAUGGUUCUUACUUGGCAUGCUGUACCUUAAGUAUUUUUCGGUGAGCAAGUGUAUGGCUCAUAUUAAUGUGUUAUAGUUAUUAAAAAGCAAGUGUGGCUCUUUUAGUAAUGUUUUUUAAAGAAUUGGUAUUGCUGAUGCUUCAAGUAAUCGUAUAUUGGUCUAUUAUAUUCUGUAUUGCUGCUGUUUUAAGUAAUUAUGUUGGUCUGCUCUGCUUAAUUUUAAAGUGAUACUGAAGGUUUUGAUUAUUUGUAUUUUGAGAAUCAAUCAAUUUGGUGUAACGUGAUUAUUUAUGAUCCCUGUGCUUUCCAAAACCUGAGGUCAUUUGUACAUAAUGUAUACUUACAUAAUAAAUUAGGUAUGAGCUUUAAA